GAAUCAAUAGCGUUUCUUUGUCGCUUUUAUUUUGAACAACACUCGAACCUAUCGUAUCAUUUCCUGAAUCAGUCAUGUGGUACACCCCCUUCGCGGGGCUUCAAACGUCACCACUGACGUCAUCAACACGCGCUUCGACUCCCCAUUCAUGAACCACUCAUCGAGAUCACUCGGCACAAGCUUCAGGGAUCCGACCCGUGGAGCACAUCACUAAUUCCACUAUGUCCUGCAUGAAGGUGUUCUAGCAUUUUAGUGUGCCCUUACAGUGGAAUGAUGAUCCUCCUUCCACACAGCAGACACCUGGACUGGACGCUUUUGAGAGUUUGGAGUGGGAACCUUGAAAGUCCAUCUGCGCAUCAAUGAGCAUUUGAUUUGCGAUGCUUGAUGUCGUAGGAGUGAGCCGACAACAGUAAAGCCCACCGCUGAAAGACGGGGACCUGCAAGAGAUGGUAGUCCAAAACCUGCUUCACCUUUAUGUCACUCCCUUUUCCUCUGCGCUCACUGACUUUGACUUGAAUUGAUUUGCACUGACAGAAAUGCUCGCUUUGUGUUCACUUACAAGGGUCGUGGUUCGCGCUGGAGCCGAUCCCGGCUGUCUGUGGGCAGUAGGCGGGGCACACCCUCAACUGGUUGACAACCAAUUGCAGGCGAUUCACAGCCGAACAAUCACACUAAGGGACAAUUGAGACGCAGGGGUGUCAAACUCAUUUUUGUCACGGGCUAUUUUGGAGUUAUGUCUUCCUCUGGAAGGCCGUUACACAGCUAAGCUGAAGAAAUGAUAAUUUUUUAAAAAUUA